AUUUUCCUUGGUCAAGAGUGCAACAUGAGCUGUGGAUAUGAACUUUACUGUCAGAUGAACAUUGGAAGUGAGCAAAAUAUCUGCGCAAAGAUUUUCCCUGGUCAAGAGUGCAACAUGCGCCGUGGAUAUGAACUUUACUGUCAGAUGUACAUUGAUUGGAAAGUGAACAAGAUAUCUGCACUGAGAAUGAAUGAAGUUGAAGAGAGUUGAAAGGCACCCCUGAAGAACCUGAAUUAUUUUAGCCCUAUCCUAGAUUUAUAUAUUUUAG
rnacentral:lncRNA from 1 species